CAGGGGUUCGCGCCACGCCCCCUACCCUCGCCGCAGCCAGCAGCGUCACACAGCAGAACGCAGGGCCGUGGGGACUCCGAAGCCCAGCAUGCACCUGGGCUCACUAAGACUACAGAGCCCAACAUGCACCGGGGCUACAGCGUCCAUAAGGUUCCAAACGCAGCGCGCAGUGCGCUGCCGCCGUUACUUUCCCAGAGUGGGAAGCCAUCUGACCACAAUGAGUGAGUGUCACUUCACUGGAAUGCAACAGCCAUGAAAAGAGACAAGUGUUCACGACUAGAGGUCAUCAUUACUUCUCCAUGUAUGCAAUCUGAACAGCUUUAGCUUAAAACCUUGAUUUAAAUAAUCAGUUUUAAUCUUGUUUUAUACUUGUAUUUUUCAGUUAUUUUCCUAAAAAAAAGUUGAUUCUCAUUGGUUGGUCAUCUCUAAAAUAUGUCAAGACUGAAACUGGUUGCCUAUUGGUGGUAUCCGCUCCUUACUUAAAGGGUCAGACUAUUUAAAAAUACAUCAGUGUGUUUCAGCUGGAUUUCAAAGUUUGAGAAGAAUGGCAGCAUCUCAUUUCUCUUCCAAAUACUUCAGAGCCUUGUCAACAAACACAAUCUUGGAUCUUUAUAGCUAGCAGCUUUCCAGGCACGGGGUUCGGCAAGUUGAUUUUACAAUAUUACACAUUUGUGCAGCUAUAUGAUUAAAAAUGUGGACAUGUAGCUAAACUAAGUGUCCACUGAUAUCAAGAAGUUUUUCUUGUAUGCUUGUACACUAUUGAAAAAUGGGAAACCAAUGCAUGAAUGUAGUAAAAUGGAUUAACAUGCUCAGCAAGAUUUUUCAGUACAGCACAUUUAACCAGACAAUGCAGGGACUUAAUAAGAGAGGUAACACAACCUGUAUGGAAACAACAGAUAUCCUUCACUGAAGACAUUCUUGGAUUUGACCAGAAAAUGGUGACUGAAAAUAAACAAAGAGCAAUUUGCAGAAAUCAUCUUUUAUUAAACUGAUUCCACCACACACAUCUGGGAAAAGAUGAUCUAGAGAAUGUAAAUUCUCCUCCAGAUGUAUAAUAGUACUGAACUGUGGGAAGUCCUGUUCGAGUAUGUCUCACUAUUACUAUUAUGGAGUGGCAUUAUGCUACAAGCAAUAAAAUGGCCAUUAACCAGGAACAAUAUUACCAUUGUUGAAAACUUGUUCAGAAUUGUGAAAAAUGACAAACUCCAUUGCAGAGCUUCAGAGUUUGUGGAAAUUAUGAACUUCACAAUUAAAGCUAAACUGUGGGGCAACUGCAGUAAGCAUUUUGCAUGUCAGUAACAGGAAUCUAAGAAUAUAGUAGCUAACAAGGUUGUGGAUUUAGAUAUUCCAGAGCCUCACACUCAAGGUAAGACUUGCAAUAAAAAUCCACAUUCAACACCCAAGAAGCAAGGCAAAUAUUUUUCAGGAUCCUCAAGAGCAGCUCCAAAAACCCAAACCAUACUUUCUUUAUCUUACUUCCCUUGUGUAACAAGCAAAAGAAAGUCACUAACAACAAAUGUAUUUAUUUCUAACACAAUUAAAAUUUGAUAAAUAAAGCCUUUUUUCUGUUCAAAAGUUGUCGAAGAACAAGCAAGCAUUGUUACAGGCUUCCUAAUUUCUAGCUGUCCAUACAAUUUGUGAAAACAUUACAGAUGGAUUUACAAAUAUUGAA